rnacentral:ncRNA from 1 species
GAAACCGACUCUGUUUUUCUUCGCAUACUUUUUUACCUUCCCCUGAACGGGAGGCGAUUGGUCGUGUAAAAAGCAAUGCGAAGACGAACAAACAAGCCUCCCGAAGCGGGAGGCUUUUUUUU